UACGUAGGGGGCAAGCGUUGUCCGGAAUUAUUGGGCGUAAAGAGCGCGUAGGCGGUCUGAUAAGUCGGGUUGUGAAAGUCGGGGGCUCAACCCUCGGAUGCCGAUCGAUACUGUCAGGCUAGAGUCCGGAAGAGGCGAGUGGAAUUCCUGGUGUAGCGGUGAAAUGCGCAGAUAUCAGGAGGAACACCAAUGGCGAAGGCAGCUCGCUGGGACGGUACUGACGCUGAGGCGCGAAAGCGUGGGGAGCAAACAGG
rnacentral:rRNA from 1 species